AGAGUUUGAUCCUGGCUCAGGAUAAACGCUGGCGGCGUGCCUUAUGCAUGCAAGUCGAACGAGGCUAGGGCUUCGGCCCGAAACCUAGUGGCGGACGGGUGAGUAACACGUACGUGACCUGUCCAGAAGUGGGGAAUAACCAGCCGAAAGGUUGGCUAAUACCGCAUGUGGUCACCCCUUGGAAGGGGAUGACGAAAGUCGCAAGACGCUUCUGGAGGGGCGUGCGGCCGAUUAGCUAGUUGGUGUGGUAACGGCGCACCAAGGCUGUGAUCGGUAGCUGGUCUGAGAGGAUGGUCAGCCACACUGGGACUGAGACCCGGCCCAGACUCCUACGGGAGGCAGCAGCAGGGAAUUUUGCGCAAUGGGCGAAAGCCUGACGCAGCAACGCCGCGUGGGGGAUGAAGGCUCUUGGGUCGUAAACCCCUUUUGCCGGGGAAGAUAAUGACGGUACCCGGCGAAUAAGCCACGGCUAACUACGUGCCAGCAGCCGCGGUAAUACGUAGGUGGCAAGCGUUGUCCGGAUUUAUUGGGCGUAAAGAGCGCGCAGGCGGUCCGUUAAGUCCGAGGUGAAAUCUCCCGGCUCAACCGGGAGGGGUCUUCGGAUACUGGCGGACUUGAGGAGAGCGGAGGUGAGUGGAAUUCUCGGUGUAGUGGUGAAAUGCGUAGAUAUCCAGAGGAACACCAGCGGCGAAGGCGGCUCCCUGGGCUCCACCUGACGCUGAGGCGCGAAAGCGUGGGGAGCGAACCGGAUUAGAUACCCUGGUAGUCC
rnacentral:rRNA from 1 species